UGUGAGCAGAAGUGAGUGCGAGUGAGUACCAGUGAGUGUGAGUGCGAGUGAGUGCCAGCGAGUGUGAGCAGAGGUGAGUGCGAGGGCGAGUGAGUGCCAGUGAGUGUGAGCGGAGAUGAGUGCGAGUGAGUACCAGUGAGUGUGAGUGGAGGUGAGUGCGAGUGCGAGUGAGUGCCAGUGAGUGUGAGCGCAGAUGAGUGCGAGUGAGUACCAUUGAGUGUGAGCUGAGGUGAGUGCGAGUGCGAGUGAGUGCCAGUGAGUGUGAGCGGAGAUGAGUGCGAGUGAGUGCGAGUGUGAGUGAGUGCCAGUGAGUGUGAGUGGAGGUGAGUGGGAAUGCGAGUGUGUGCCAGUGAGUGUGAGUGGAGAGGAGUGCGAGUGAGUGCCAGUGAGUGUGAGCCGAGGUGAGUGCGAGUGUGAGUGAGUGCCAGUGAGUGUGAGCCGAGGUGA
rnacentral:lncRNA from 1 species